rnacentral:rRNA from 1 species
UACGAAGGGGGGCGAGCGUUGUCCGGAUUUACUGGGCGUAAAGAGCGCGCAGGCGGUCGUACAAGUCGCGUGUGAAAGCCCCCGGCUCAACUGGGGAGGGUCACGCGAUACUGUUCGACUCGAAGGCAGGAGAGGGAAGUGGAAUUCCCGGUGUAGUGGUGAAAUGCGUAGAUAUCGGGAGGAACACCAGUGGCGAAGGCGACUUCCUGGCCUGUUCUUGACGCUGAGGCGCGAAAGCUAGGGUAGCAAACGGG